AGCGAACGCUGGCGGCAGGCCUAACACAUGCAAGUCGAACGAAGUCUUCGGACUUAGUGGCGGACGGGUGAGUAACACGUGGGAACGUACCUUUUGGUUCGGAACAACUCAGGGAAACUUGAGCUAAUACCGGAUGAGCCCUUAGGGGGAAAGAUUUAUCGCCGAAAGAGCGGCCCGCGUUAGAUUAGCUAGUUGGUGAGGUAAAGGCUCACCAAGGCCACGAUCUAUAGCUGGUCUGAGAGGAUGAUCAGCCACACUGGGACUGAGACACGGCCCAGACUCCUACGGGAGGCAGCAGUGGGGAAUCUUGCGCAAUGGGCGAAAGCCUGACGCAGCCAUGCCGCGUGAAUGAUGAAGGUCUUAGGAUUGUAAAAUUCUUUUACCAGGGACGAUAAUGACGGUACCUGGAGAAAAAGCCCCGGCUAACUACGUGCCAGCCGCCGCAGUAAGAC
rnacentral:rRNA from 1 species